GUAAGUAAGUUGAAACAAGGAAAUAAGAAGAUAGCAACCUUCCACACAGCCAUACACCCCUGUAAUGUGCUGUUCCAUGUGCUAGAACACCUGCUCCACAAGGCUCCACAACAAUCAUCCAUUCCAAUCAGUUACAGAAUAUUCAAAAGAUGUAAAAGUUUGGAAGACCAAUAAAGCACCUGAGUUUGAAUCAUCAGCAUUUGUAGAUGAAAAGCAAUUACUCUGAACAUAAGAGUAAAAGGAAUAUGAGCCCAGUUUCCAUAAUUCUUAAACCAUAUUAAGUACAAUGACAAAAUGGCAAAUUCUGUGGUGAAGUUGAGAUUAUAUUCAGAUGUUCUGUAUCUACCAACGGCCGUUAGACCUUCAAGACGAACC
rnacentral:lncRNA from 1 species